GCAUUCUUCCUCGUCGUCUCUCUCUCUCUCCUUCGCGUAUACGUCAUUCGCGCAUUUGUAUCACAUCACGACGACGGUGAUCCCGCAGUUUUGACGCGACGCGUCGUCAUGUGUCCUGGCGUCGCAGAUGAUCGGCUGUGACGAUUCGAAUUUUUCGGAGCACACAAGACCCCGGAUCGGGGCGCCGCGCUCCACUCUUGCAUCGGUGCGUUUGUUUUGACAUGUGUGUAGGCUGCCAUAUUGGAUUACCGCAUCGCUGCUGUUGCUGUCGCCGUCGUGCUCGUUGUCACCGUCGUCGUCAUCGUCACCACCGCUGCGGAGCACCCGGGCGUGAGGCACGACUUUCGCGCUAAAAAAAAGAACGAUCUAUUUGUGGAGCAGACAUGGAACCUAUCACAACGAUUGUGUGGCACAGUUAAGCGCGGGUGGUUGAUGCCUGAUGGCGCGGGCUGGAACGCAACGCUGGAGAAAUCCUGCUCCAGA